rnacentral:misc_RNA from 1 species
UCCCCGUUACCGGGGCAGUCUGAUUAGAAAAAUACAACUAAUCACAAGGGUUGCGCUCGUUGAUGGACUUAACCCAACACCUCACGGCACGAGCUGACGACAGCCAUGCAGCACCUGUGCUCGCUCCCCUUACGAGGUCAUCCCCGUUUCCGGUUCUUACCACGAGCAUGUCAAGCCUGGGUAAGGUUUUUCGCGUUGCGUCGAAUUAAACCACAUGCACCACCGCUUGUGCGGGCCCCCGUCAAUUCCUUUGAGUUUAAGCCUUGCGGCCGUACUCCCCAGGCGGUCGACUUCACGCGUUAGCUUCGUUACUGAGAGUGUCAAACCCCCAACAACCAGUCGACAUCGUUUAGGGUGUGGACUAC